rnacentral:rRNA from 1 species
UCAGCGAAAGCUGUGCUAAUACCGCAUACGAUCUAUGGAUGAAAGCGGGGGACCGUAAGGCCUCGCGCGAUUGGAGCGGCCGAUGUCAGAUUAGGUAGUUGGUGGGGUAAAGGCCCACCAAGCCAACGAUCUGUAGCUGGUCUGAGAGGACGACCAGCCACACUGGGACUGAGACACGGCCCAGACUCCUACGGGAGGCAGCAGUGGGGAAUUUUGGACAAUGGGCGCAAGCCUGAUCCAGCAAUGCCGCGUGCAGGAAGAAGGCCCUCGGGUUGUAAACUGCUUUUGUCAGGGAAGAAAUCCUCUAGGUUAAUACCCUUGGGGGGAUGACGGUACCUGAAGAAUAAGCACCGGCUAA